GUUUUGUGAAAUCCCCCGGCUUAACCGGGGAGUUGCUUGGCGAACUGCUGGUCUUGAGGCAAAUAGGGGUGCAUGGAACUCUUGGUGGAGCGGUGGAAUGCGUAGAUAUCAAGAGGAACGCCAGCGGCGAAAGCGGUGCACUGGAUUUGUCCUGACGCUCAGAUACGAAAGCGUGGGGAGCAAACGGGAUUAGAUACCCCGGUAGUCCACGCCCUAAACGAUGCCUACUAGGUUGUAGAACCUCUGACGGUUUUACGGCCGAAGCAAAAGUGUUAAGUAGGCCGCCUGGGAAGUACGGUCGCAAGGCUAAAACUCAAAGGAAUUGACGGGGGCUCACACAAGCGGUGGAGUAUGUGGAUUAAUUCGAAGCAACGCGCAGAACCUUACCUGGGUUUGACAUGGUUGGAUGCCUAUCUGGAAACAGAGUCGGUUGCCCGCAAGGGUGAAACUUCCACAGGUGCUGCAUGGCUGUCGUCAGCUCGUGUCGUGAGAUGUCGGGUUAAGUCCUCUAACGAGCGAAACCCUUGUCAUUAGUUACCAUCAGUUCAGCUGGGGACUCUAAUGAGACUGCCGGUGUUAAACCGGAGGAAGGUGGGGAUGACGUCAAGUCCUCAUGGCCUUUAUGCCCAGGGCCUCACACGUACUACAAUGGCGGAUACAAAGCGAUGCAAGACCGCAAGGUGGAGCAAAUCGCAUAAAGUUCGCCCCAGUUCAGAUUGCAGGCUGCAAUUCGCCUGCAU
rnacentral:rRNA from 1 species